rnacentral:rRNA from 1 species
AAACUGCCGUGAUUCGAGCUCCGCCCUCGCGUUGCUCUAGAUUAUCAGCCAAUGGCUCGUUAAACAGUUAUAGUUUAUUUGAUAUAUUAAAUGGAUAACUGUAGAAAAACUAGAGCUAAUACAUGCCGAAGCCGCAAGGUUGUAUUUAUUAGAUAUUCCAAUUAGGUGAAUCAUGAUAACUUUGCAAAUCUCGGUUUUGCCGAGAUAAAUCAUCCAAGUUUCUGCCCUAUCAUGCUUUCGAUGGUAGUGUAUUGGACUACCAUGGCUUUCACGGGUAACAGGGAAUUAGGGAAACAAAACGGAGAAGGAGCCUGAGAUCUGCUUAUUUUCAUCUACGGAGGGGGGCCCCCCCCCCCCCUUACCCAAUCCUGACUCAGGGAUGUGGUGACAAGAUAUAAGGGGGGGGGGUUGAUUUGUUAUUUUUAUUGAGGGGUUUUCCAAACCGAACCACUAGUACGAUUAGAGGGCAAGUCUGGUGCCAGCACCGCGGUAAUUCCAGCUCAAUAGCGUAAUUAAAGUUGCUGCGUUAAAAGCCCGAAUUGGAUUUAAGGAUGUGACCCUCCAAAUUGCACUAACAACUUGAUUGCAUGGGGAAAUUGAUGGUUAGCUGGUAUGAAAUUAUUCCGGGAAUCGAGUUGCAGACUGGGAAUC